UACGAAGGGGGCUAGCGUUGUUCGGAAUUACUGGGCGUAAAGCGUGCGCAGGCGGCUGCUCAAGUCAGGGGUGAAAGCCCAGAGCUCAACUCUGGAAUUGCCUUUGAGACUGAGUGGCUUGAGUACGGGAGAGGUGAGUGGAAUUCCUGGUGUAGCGGUGAAAUGCGUAGAUAUCAGGAGGAACACCGGUGGUGUAGACGGCUUUCUGGACCGUAACUGACGCUGAGACACGAAAGCGUGGGUAGCAAACAGG
rnacentral:rRNA from 1 species